AUCCAUCUGACGAGUCCCAAAUAGGACUAAACGCGCUUCGUGGAU
rnacentral:hammerhead_ribozyme from 1 species